UACGAAGGGGACUAGCGUUGUUCGGAUUUACUGGGCGUAAAGCGCACGUAGGCGGCUUUCUAAGUCGGGGGUGAAAUCCUGGAGCUCAACUCCAGAACUGCCUUCGAUACUGGAAAGCUCGAGUCCGGGAGAGGUGAGUGGAACUGCGAGUGUAGAGGUGAAAUUCGUAGAUAUUCGCAAGAACACCAGUGGCGAAGGCGGCUCACUGGCCCGGUACUGACGCUGAGGUGCGAAAGCGUGGGGAGCAAACAGG
rnacentral:rRNA from 1 species